AACGAACGCUGGCGGCAGGCCUAACACAUGCAAGUCGAGCGCCACCUUCGGGCGGAGCGGCGGACGGGUUAGUAACGCGUGGGAACGUACCCAGAUCUAAGGAAUAGCCACUGGAAACGGUGAGUAAUACCUUAUACGCCCUUAGGGGGAAAGAUUUAUCGGAUUUGGAUCGGCCCGCGUUAGAUUAGAUAGUUGGUGGGGUAAUGGCCUACCAAGUCUACGAUCUAUAGCUGGUUUUAGAGGAUGAUCAGCAACACUGGGACUGAGACACGGCCCAGACUCCUACGGGAGGCAGCAGUGGGGAAUCUUGGACAAUGGGCGCAAGCCUGAUCCAGCCAUGCCGCGUGCGUGAUGAAGGCCCUAGGGUUGUAAAGCACUUUCAACGGUGAAGAUAAUGACGGUAACCGUAGAAGAAGCCCCGGCUAACUUCGUGCCAGCAGCCGCGGUAA
rnacentral:rRNA from 1 species